UGAUGCUACGGAAGCGUCAAAAAGAAUAUAAAAUCUCAAUAUCCAUUAAGUCCCCUGAGCUUAAAUUUGAGAUUAUGGUACUGAAUACAAACCACAUAACGUGCAGGACAUUGUUAGGUGGCCUUCUUCAUCAUAUGAUGAGCAAAUGGAUUCUUUUCCCUUAACUUUAAGCAAAUGUUAAUCGCUGCAAAUCUACCAACUCCAUCUUCACCCAAAUGUUAUUCUCCACGUGUAGCUGAUGAGUGUUUUAUAACAACUUCAAGUGACACACCAGGGCAACUCUCUGUCAUAAUCUUGAAAAUUUGAAAUACCCAUUUGAAGAAGUUCAUGAAGAAGGAAGAAGAAAAGAUUGUUACAGUAUCAGAAAUUGGAGAGAAGAGGCCGCAGGAACUGCAGGAAGAACAAUCUGCAGCCAUUAUAUGGGACUGUGGGAGUCCUUUAUAUGAUUCAUAUGAGUUAGCUUCACUUAGUCAUCUGAUUGACAGGAACAUGAUGGCCUUGCCAUUUCCCUGUGGAUCAAAAAGGUUCAAUAUUUACCAAUCUAAUUUUCCAAGGGAAGAAAAGGGUCUCAACAUGAUCAACCAGGAAGGGUUUCAACAAGAGGGAUUAUUGUCCAAAUUGAUGAGUAGUUACUCCUGGAAGAGGACAAGGGACAAGGAAAGGAAUGAGAAAACCAGAAAGGCCAGUUGCAGAUUUUAUAGUCUCUGUAGAAUGAUUGGUUUAUGCAGGAAAAAAAGCUGCGAAAGUUGAGAAAAUCAUGCAAGGAAAUUUAAUUAUUUAAAUUUGUGUGUGUGUAUAUUAUUUUCUAUCUUCCUUUUUUUUUUUUUUCCAGGCUAAUUAUGGAAUAUUCAUUUGAAGACUUGUAAUUUCUGUUUCUCAUAGGGGAAAAUAAAAACAUUGUAAUUUAUUGAGUUUUCAAGGUAUCUCAUUGUAAUUUGGGUUUGUCUUGCUGAGUUAAUUUGUG
rnacentral:misc_RNA from 1 species